rnacentral:rRNA from 1 species
UACAGAGGGGGCAAGCGUUGUCCGGACUGACUGGGCGUAAAGCGCACGCAGGCGGUUGUGGGCGUCGGGGCUGAAAGUCCACUGCUUAACAGUGGAACGCGUGCCGAUACGCCAUAACUGGAGCAAUGCAGAGGCCAGUGGAAUUGCCGGUGUAGUGGUGAAAUGCGCAGAUAUCAGGAGGAACACCGGUGGCGAAGGCGGGUCUCUGGGCAACAACUGACGCUGAGGAGCGAAAGCGUGGGGAGCGAACAGG